UCGCGUCCUAUCAGCUUGUAGCGGGGUAAUGGCCCACCUAGGCUUUCGACGGGUAGCCGGCCUGAGAGGGCGGACGGCCACAUUGGGACUGAGAUACGGCCCAGACUCCUACGGGGAGGCAGCAGUGGGGAAUAUUGCGCAAUGGGGGAAACCCUGACGCAGCGACGCCGCGUGCGGGAUGAAGGCCUUCGGGUUGUAAAACCGCUUUUGAUUGGGAGCAAGCCUUUUGGGUGAGUGUACCUUUCGAAUAAGCGCCGGGCUAACUACGUGCCAGCAGCCGCGGUAAAU
rnacentral:rRNA from 1 species